ensembl:misc_RNA Metazoa_SRP Metazoan signal recognition particle RNA
GCCGGGUGUGGUGGCUCACGCCUGUAAUCCCAGCACUUUGGGAGGCCGAUAUGGGUGGAUCACCUGAGGUCAGGAGUUCAAGACCAGCCUGGCCAACAUGGUGAAAUCCCAUCUCUA